UGGGGAAUUUUGGACAAUGGGCGAAAGCCUGAUCCAGCAAUGCCGCGUGUGUGAAGAAGGCCUUCGGGUUGUAAAGCACUUUUGUCCGGAAAGAAAUCCUUGGCUCUAAUACAGCCGGGGGAUGACGGUACCGGAAGAAUAAGCACCGGCUAACUACGUGCCAGCAGCCGCGGUAAUACGUAGGGUGCAAGCGUUAAUCGGAAUUACUGGGCGUAAAGCGUGCGCAGGCGGUUUGCUAAGACCGAUGUGAAAUCCCCGGGCCCAACCUGGGAACUGCAUUGGUGACUGGCAGGCUAGAGUAUGGCAGAGGGGGGUAGAAUUCCACGUNUAGCAGUGAAAUGCGUAGAGAUGUGGAGGAAUACCGAUGGCGAAGGCAGCCCCCUGGGCCAAUACUGACGCUCAUGCACGAAAGCGUGGGGGAGCAAACAGGAUUAGAUACCCUGGUAGUCCACGCCCUAAACGAUGU
rnacentral:rRNA from 1 species